rnacentral:rRNA from 1 species
AGAGUUUGAUCAUGGCUCAGAAUCAACGCUGGCGGCGUGCCUAACACAUGCAAGUCGAACGAGAAAGUGGAGCAAUCCAUGAGUAAAGUGGCGCACGGGUGAGUAACACGUGACUAACCUACCCUGGAGUGGGGGAUAACUGAGGGAAACCUUAGCUAAUACCGCAUAAUACCUACGGGUCAAAGGAGCAAUUCGCUUCAGGAGGGGGUCGCGGCCGAUUAGUUAGUUGGCGGGGUAAUGGCCCACCAAGACAGUGAUCGGUAUCCGGCCUGAGAGGGCGCACGGACACACUGGAACUGAAACACGGUCCAGACUCCUACGGGAGGCAGCAGUGGGGAAUUUUGCGCAAUGGGGGAAACCCUGACGCAGCAACGCCGCGUGGAGGAUGAAGUCCUUCGGGACGUAAACUCCUUUCGAUCGGGACGAUUAUGACGGUACCGGAAGAAGAAGCCCCGGCUAACUUCGUGCCAGCAGCCGCGGUAAUACGAGGGGGGCGAGCGUUGUUCGGAAUUAUUGGGCGUAAAGGGUGCGUAGGCGGUUUUGUAAGUCUUAUGUGAAAUCUAUGGGCUCAACUCAUAGACUGCAUGAGAAACUGCAGGGCUUGAGUAUGGGAGAGGUGAGUGGAAUUCCUGGUGUAGCGGUGAAAUGCGUAGAUAUCAGGAGGAACACCUGUGGCGAAAGCNNNUCACUGGACCAUAACUGACGCUGAUGCACGAAAGCGGGAGCNCAGGAUUAGAUACCCUAGUAGUCC